UACGGAGGGUGCAAGCGUUAUCCGGAUUCACUGGGUUUAAAGGGUGCGUAGGCGGGCAGGUAAGUCAGUGGUGAAAUCUCCGGGCUUAACCCGGAAACUGCCGUUGAUACUAUCUGUCUUGAAUACCGUGGAGGUCAGCGGAAUAUGUCAUGUAGCGGUGAAAUGCUUAGAUAUGACAUAGAACACCAAUUGCGAAGGCAGCUGGCUACACGAAUAUUGACACUGAUGCACGAAAGCGUGGGGAUCAAACAGG
rnacentral:rRNA from 1 species